CCUACGGGUGGCUGCAGUGGGGAAUAUUGCACAAUGGGGGAAACCCUGAUGCAGCGACGCCGCGUGAGUGAAGAAGUAUUUCGGUAUGUAAAGCUCUGUCAGCAGGGAAGAAAAUGACGGUACCUGACCAAGAAGCCCCGUCUAACUACGUCCCAGCAGCCGCGGUAAUACGUAGGGGGCAGGCGUUAUCCGGAUUUACGGGGGGUAAAGGGAGCGUGGACGGCAGGGGAAGUCUGGAGUGAAAGGCGGGGGCUCAACCCCCGCACUGCGCUGGAAACUGCCAGGCUGGAGUGCAGGAGGGGUAAGUGGAAUUCCUAGUGUAGCGGUGAAAUGCGUAGAUAUUAGGAGGAACACCAGUGGCGAAGGCGGCUUACUGGACUGUAACUGACGUUGAGGCUCGAAAGCGUGGGGAGCAAACAGGAUUAGAUACCCGGGUAGUC
rnacentral:rRNA from 1 species